UUUAUCCUUGUCUUUGGGGAGCAAAGUAUUCAAUGAUCGUUUAGUGAGGGUACUGUUGCUAUAACCCAUUAUUUUAAUAACAUGCAUCCGCGAUAUAAUGUGAGAUGCAAUUUUUGGAAGC